rnacentral:rRNA from 1 species
CAGUCGCCGCGGGAAUACAUAGGGUGCGAGCGUUAAUCGGAAUUACUGGGCGUAAAGCGUGCGCAGGCGGUUCGUUAAGACAGAUGUGAAAUCCCCGGGCUUAACCUGGGAACUGCAUUAGUGACUGGCGAGCUAGAGUAUGGCAGAGGGGGGUAGAAUUCCACGUGUAGCAGUGAAAUGCGUAGAGAUGUGGAGGAAUACCGAUGGCGAAGGCAGCCCCCUGGGCCAAUACUGACGCUCAUGCACGAAAGCGUGGGGAGCAAACAGGAUUAGAUACCCCCGUAGUCCCUGUCUCUUAUAC